GCUGAAGGAAUGCAGCCUAAGUGCGCGACGUCCUGUUACAAAGGCUGCAUUCCCGCGUCCUGCGGG
rnacentral:sRNA from 1 species